rnacentral:rRNA from 1 species
UACGGGGGGUGCGAGCGUUGUCCGGAAUCACUGGGCGUAAAGGGCGCGUAGGUGGUUUGAUAAGGGUGUGGUGAAAGUCCGGGGCUCAACCCCGGAUCUGCCGUGCCGACUGUCAAACUCGAGGGCUGUAGAGGCAGACGGAAUUCCGGGUGUAGCGGUGGAAUGCGCAGAUAUCAGGAGGAACACCGGUGGCGAAGGCGGGACUCUGGGCCGAUACUGACGCUGAGGAGCGAAAGCGUGGGGAGCAAACAGG